AAGACACUAGUAAAAUACAUUACCUUGCCUUGUCAAGGCAAAAUUGUGGGCUAAUUCCCCGCGUGUCUUG
ensembl:Mt_tRNA tRNA-Asp